ACUACAGUACCCAUAUAUUCACUAGCAUGUAGCAAUGUAGUAUGGAAUAUCGUGUUAUCGUAUGCAAGCUAAGCGUCUAGAUGUGGCAAUAAGUUGAUAAUAUUUCAUAAGGGAUUAGUCUAGUAUUUUCAUUUCCUUGGAGGAGUUGUGUCGUCCUAUAUGUUGCCUAUGCCAUUAAUUAACAGCGUUUAUCUCCAUUAAUUCUUCAAUGACUGACUGUGUGUUUUUGAUGUUUUGCCCAAGAAAAGAAAGUUAGAAGCACUCAAUCUGUGAGAACUCAUUUACUCGAAUUGCAUCAUUUCCUUCUCGGAAAUCUAAGAAGAAGUAAUUUUUAUUGAUCCCUUGCUUGCGAAGGCUUUCUUUUUUUGCACUUAUUAGUUAAAGGAUCAGCUGAUCAUUUGAAGAAAAUUAACGUAUAACAUCCCAUCAAAUCCCUUUAAGGUGCGCAUCUAUAAUUAAUUACUCCGUACAAUUACUACUGUUGUUAAG
rnacentral:lncRNA from 1 species